rnacentral:tRNA from 1 species
AGGAGUGUGACCUAGUGGAAAGAGUACAGGCCUGGGAGUCAGAGGACAUGGGUUCUAAUCCCGUCUCUGCUA